UACGAAGGGGGCUAGCGUUGUUCGGAAUCACUGGGCGUAAAGGGCGCGUAGGCGGCCGCUCAAGUCGGGGGUGAAGGCCUGUGGCUUAACCACAGAAUUGCCUUCGAUACUGUUUGGCUUGAGACCGGAAGAGGUGAGUGGAACUGCGAGUGUAGAGGUGAAAUUCGUAGAUAUUCGCAAGAACACCAGUGGCGAAGGCGGCUCACUGGUCCGGUUCUGACGCUGAGGCGCGAAAGCGUGGGGAGCAAACAGG
rnacentral:rRNA from 1 species